GCUUGCUUUGGCCAACACAUACCAAAACUGGAAUGAUACAGAGGUUAGCAUGCCUCUGUACAAGGAUGGCACAAGAACUUGUGAAGAUUUCCAUAUGUAA
rnacentral:snRNA from 1 species